UUAAGACAAAGCAACCAGAUCGAGAGGCAGCAAGAAACCUCCCGUCCGGCCGGACCAUUUGGUUUUGCUUCGAAGAAACCUUCACGGCCGCUGCAUCUAAAUUCUCAACCGACCCACCCAGCUUCCCUUGCGAAAGACCACGCGCGAAGUCGCGAGCACGAGCAGGAGAUCGAAGGCAGGCAAAGCAGUGGAGCAGAGCGUUGUCAGGCAUGCUGGAGCUCCUGCUGGUGGGGUGCAGCAGCGUGGUGGUGCUCCUCCACGGCGCUAGCCUCUUCCUCCGCGCGCUCUUCGCCCCGCGCCACGCCGUCGCCAGGUCCAUCAGCUUCCUCGGGUUCGUGGCCUGACCGAUCGCGCGCGAUGGGCCGGCCGGGCGACCAUGGAUCAGGUAUUCGGGUGAGAGGGCCGGCCGAGGUGCGGAGAUCGUCGUCUUCCGGCCGAUAUGAAUGGAUCAGGGGAUGCUAGUGUAAGUUAUGAAACAGAGCACCCCUUACUCAUCGAGGAGUCCACCGAUGUAGAUAGCUUGCUUGGUCGUGUUACUGUGGAUUGUGAAAAUACUAGCACUACUCGUGUAAAUUGUCCAAGUUGCACCACACCAACGAACUGUGCCCGCAGGUUCGCGUAUCUACAUUUGCAACCAUUAUCCCUGACAGAUCAGAGUGCGUGUCUCA